GCGUGUAGCAGUGAAAUGCGUAGAUAUGCGGAGGAACACCGAUGGCGAAGGCAGCCCCCUGGGAUAAUACUGACGCUCAUGCACGAAAGCGUGGGGAGCAAACAGGAUUAGAUACCCUGGUAGUCCACGCCCUAAACGAUGUCAACUAGCUGUUGGGGCCUUCGGGCCUUAGUAGCGCAGCUAACGCGUGAAGUUGACCGCCUGGGGAGUACGGUCGCAAGAUUAAAACUCAAAGGAAUUGACGGGGACCCGCACAAGCGGUGGAUGAUGUGGAUUAAUUCGAUGCAACGCGAAAAACCUUACCUACCCUUGACAUGUCUGGAAUCCCGAAGAGAUUUGGGAGUGCUCGCAAGAGAACUGGAACACAGGUGCUGCAUGGCUGUCGUCAGCU
rnacentral:rRNA from 1 species